GCAGCCGCCACGGGAAUACGUAGGGUGCAAGCGUUAAUCGGAAUUACUGGGCGUAAAGCGUGCGCAGGCGGUUAUAUAAGACAGAUGUGAAAUCCCCGGGCUCAACCUGGGAACUGCAUUUGUGACUGUAUAGCUAGAGUACGGCAGAGGGGGAUGGAAUUCCGCGUGUAGCAGUGAAAUGCGUAGAUAUGCGGAGGAACACCGAUGGCGAAGGCAAUCCCCUGGGCCUGUACUGACGCUCAUGCACGAAAGCGUGGGGAGCAAACAGGAUUAGAUACCCCCGUAGUCCCUGUCUCUUAUA
rnacentral:rRNA from 1 species